CGGCGUGCUAACACAUGCAAGUCGAACGGAGAUAUGAUUUCGGGUUGUAUCUUUAGUGGCGAACGGGUGAGUAACGCGUGAGCAACCUGACUCUUAGAGGGGGAUAACACUCGGGAAACGGGUGCUAAUACCGCAUAAGACCACGACAUGGCAUCAUGACGAGGUCAAAAGGAGCAAUCCGCUGAGAGAGGGGCUCGCGUCCCAUUAGAUAGAUGGCGGGUAACGGCCCACCAUGUCAGCGAUGGGUAGCCGAGCUGAGAGGCUGAUCGGCCACACUGGAACUGAGACACGGUCCAGACUCCUACGGGAGGCAGCAGGUGGGGAAUAUUGGGCAAUGGGCGCAAGUCUGACCCAGCAACGCCGCGUGAGGGAAGAAGGCUUUCGGGUUGUAAACCUCUGUCCUUGGUGACGAAAAAAAUGACGGUAGCCAAGGAGGAAGCCCCGGCUAACUACGUG
rnacentral:rRNA from 1 species